AGCUUUGCACAGUGGAAGUAUCGUAGCCAAAGAGGUUUAUCUGAGGCAUGAUUAUUGCUGAUAGAAAAGUUUUCCCAAUACCCUGCCAUGACGACUGGAAAUAUAGUCGGCAUUGGCAAUUUUUGGCAGUCUCUACGGGGA
rnacentral:snRNA from 1 species